GACGAACGCUGGCGGCGUGCCUAAUACAUGCAAGUAGAACGCACAGUUUAUACCGUAGCUUGCUACACCAUAAACUGUGAGUUGCGAACGGGUGAGUAACGCGUAGGUAACCUGCCUGGUAGCGGGGGAUAACUAUUGGAAACGAUAGCUAAUACCGCAUAAUAUUGAUUAUUGCAUGAUAAUUGAUUGAAAGAUGCUAUUGCAUCACUACCAGAUGGACCUGCGUUGUAUUAGCUAGUAGGUGAGGUAACGGCUCACCUAGGCGACGAUACAUGGCCGACCUGAGAGGGUGAUCGGCCACACUGGGACUGAGACACGGCCCAGACUCCUACGGGAGGCAGCAGUAGGGAAUCUUCGGCAAUGGACGAAAGUCUGACCGAGCAACGCCGCGUGAGUGAAGAAGGUUUUCGGAUCGUAAAGCUCUGUUGUAAGAGAAGAACGGGUGUGAGAGUGGAAAGUUCACACUGUGACGGUAUCUUACCAGAAAGGGACGGCUAACUACGUGCCAGCAGCCGCGGUAAUACGUAGGUCCCGAGCGUUGUCCGGAUUUAUUGGGCGUAAAGCGAGCGCAGGCGGUUAGAUAAGUCUGAAGUUAAAGGCUGUGGCUUAACCAUAGUACGCUUUGGAAACUGUUUAACUUGAGUGCAGAAGGGGAGAGUGGAAUUCCAUGUGUAGCGGUGAAAUGCGUAGAUAUAUGGAGGAACACCGGUGGCGAAAGCGGCUCUCUGGUCUGUAACUGACGCUGAGGCUCGAAAGCGUGGGGAGCGAACAGG
rnacentral:rRNA from 1 species